UUCCUUAUCUGUAUCUAAUACGUUGGUUUAUCUGGAGCCUGUCUUCCUGCGCUCUUUUAAAACGGUCUUCGUGAUGAGAAAGCGCACGAAGACAGGCCCGUCAUGUAGUUGCCGUGAGCCC
rnacentral:sRNA from 1 species